CUACAUAUCAGAAAUGGAAAGGGAAUGAGACUGACAGAACCAUUAUCAGGUGAGAGAGAAUUAAUCUAAACAAUCCUGGGGUCUAAGGAAAACAGUUUAAAUGCUGUCCAUGUUUCUGUUCUAAAGUUUGAAAAUAUUAAAUAUUAAAUGUGAUGUUUAUUUGCACAUAUCUGUAAGUUAUUGUAAUCUUAGUGUGGCAUUACGGACAUUAUUUAGUGGAAUGUCACAACAAAUGAACUAAUAAAAAAAAUAGCAAGCGGCAUACAUUUUACCCAUAACCACCUGCAAGGCAGAACCAAUUACAGCCCUUGUGGAGGGAGGGGUUUAGUUAAACGGUUAAAGUGGUGUGAUGGCAAGUCUAGGCAAAUACAAUUCUUGGGAAUCCUGUAUUAAGGUUGGAGAAGAAAAACAACUAUAUCCCACUCAUUUCAGAUCCAGGGGAUCGUCACAAAAUGGUGGUUCACUGGAACCAGCUGACGUGUGCGUACAUCUGUAUAAAGGAAAAAAUGUGAUCCUUAUCACUGUGGUUCCAGGGUUACAUCAUUAAGUUUCUGUCAGAAUGCUGUCUGCGGCCCUGGAAUCAAAGUGACGUUUUAACUGUAUAAAUUUGUCAUGGAACAAAAAUAUAUGUCUGUCAAUUUGGCUUCAGGGAAUAACUGUUUCAUAAUAACUGUUUCAGCUUCUGUCCGCACAGUCUCUGGUGUGCUGUAAAAGCCAUGGAAUUAGUACAUUAAUGUUAACGGGACUGUUAGUUCAGUUAACACAGCUUCUAUUUACUAUCUACUUACAAAGCGGGUCAACUAUCGCCCAUCCACAUAGUAUUUAACACGCUUGCCCUCGGAAACGGGAUGUGGUCAGUUUGUGCAGUGGUGAACUUGCGACAUGUAGUGAUUUUCAGCAGGAUGUCCCAGAAUGUGACCUCAGAUAAUGAGGUGCUGGUUUCUGAUGAUAAUGCAGAUUUGGGCUCAUUUUAAGAGUGCAGGUGAGUGCCGUACUCCCUGGGAGAGGUGUGAACGGGCCCAUCUACGCUGUGGGACAGCGGAUGGAUCCUGUAGGAUGGGGGUGUCAAAAAUCCAGUCCCGGGGAGGGGGGGCACAGGGUCUGCAGGUAUUUGUGAUUUCCUUUCAAUCAGCAGCCAAUCAAGGCCUUGAGGAAAAACGUGUGUAGCCAAUCAAUGACUUGAAUGAAUCACUUGUGCUGAAGGAGAGUGAAAACCAGCAGAUACUGCGGCUCUCCAGGAGUGGAGGUCUGGUGUCUCUCCAGGAGUGGAGGUCUGGGGCUCUCCAGGAGUGGAGCUCUGGGGCUCUCCAGGAGUGGAGGUCUGGUGUCUCUCCAGGAGUGGAGGUCUGGUGUCUCUCCAGGAGUGGAGGUCUGGUGUCUCUCCAGGAGUGGAGGUCUGGUGUCUCUCCAGGAGUGGAGCUCUGGGGCUCUCCAGGAGUGGAGGUCUGGUGUCUCUCCAGGAGUGGAGGUCUGGUGUCUCUCCAGGAGUGGAGGUCUGGUGUCUCUCCAGGAGUGGAGGUCUGGGGCUCUCCAGGAGUGGAGGUCUGGGGCUCUCCAGGAGUGGAGGUCUGGGGCUCUCCAGGAGUGGAGGUCUGGGGCUCUCCAGGAGUGGAGGUCUGGUGUCUCUCCAGGAGUGGAGUUCUGGGGCUCCCUGCUGUAGAUGCGCUCGGCUCAGCAGAUGUGUAACUUAAAAUGGUACGAUUUUAAACUUCUGAGAAGUGAGUGUUUUCCUUUGGAAGGAUGUUGGUUAUUUGUGGCAGCCUAAUGUAUGUUGAGGCAGCAGUGGGCAUUGAGAAUGAUGUGGAUGCUAGUGGGGCAGUAUGUGUUCUGAUGGCGUAUUGUAGUUUUGUCAGGGGUCACUAACCAUGGCUUAUGUUCUGUAAAAAAAAGAAAAUAUCAGUGUUGAAUUUACUGUGUAUGCAUAUAUCAUGAGAAAUUUGCUUGAUGUCCAUGCAAAUGUGUCUUUGUCAGUUACUGUUGUUUUCUGUGAAGUCUUAGUAUGUAAGCACUACUUAUUGUGCGUAUGAGGAAACCUAACUGAAUUUCACAUCAAACUGAGAAAAAGCAAUACACUCCUACAACUGAAAUAAAGGUUUUUUUAUGGAGAA